rnacentral:rRNA from 1 species
UACGUAGGGCGCAAGCGUUGUCCGGAAUUAUUGGGCGUAAAGAGCUCGUAGGCGGCCAGUUGCGUCUGCUGUGAAAUCCCGGGGCUUAACCCCGAGCCUGCAGUGGAUACGGGCAGACUAGAGGUAGGUAGGGGAGAAUGGAAUUCCCGGUGUAGCGGUGAAAUGCGCAGAUAUCGGGAGGAACACCGGUGGCGAAGGCGGUUCUCUGGGCCUUACUUGACGCUGAGGAGCGAAAGCGUGGGGAGCGAACAGG